AUCCAGCCAUACCGCGUGGGUGAAGAAGGCCUUCGGGUUGUAAAGCCCUUUUGAAGGGAAAGAAAUCCAUCUGGCUAAUACCCGGGUGGGAUGACCGUACCCAAAGAAUAAGCACCGGCUAACUUCGUGCCAGCAGCCGCGGUAAUACAAACGGUGCAAGCGUUACUCGGAAUUACUGGGCGUAAAGCGUGCGUAGGUGGUCGUUUAGGUCCCUUGUGAAAACCCUGGGCUCAACCUGGGAACUGCACUGGAUACUGGGCGACUAGAAUGUGGUAGAGGGUAGCGGAAUUCCUGGUGUAGCAGUGAAAUGCGUAGAGAUCAGGAGGAACAUCCAUGGCUAAGGCAGCUACCUGGACCAACAUUGACGCUGAUGCACGAAAGCGUGGGGAACAAACAGGAAUAAAUACCCUGGUAUUCCACGCCCUAAACGAUGCAAGGUGGAUGUUGGGUGCAAUUUGGCUCUCAAUAUGUAAGCUACCGCAUGGGGCCCGCCGCCUGGAGAGAACAACGCACAACUGAGCUGAGGGGGUUGACGGCUCCCUCCCAUUGGUUUAGGUUCUG
rnacentral:rRNA from 1 species